GUUUAGGUGGUGUUACUACUAGAGUUCCGACUCAAGGUGUUGAUAAUACGAAGAAGUCAAAUGACAUUGAUGGUUCAGCUGAGGAUCAGUAUUAGAGUUUAUGGAGAAGAUUAGCAGUGAAUGGUUGUUGGGUAUCCCGUAGUAUUAGUGUUGAUGUUAGAAGUUGUUUAUAUUUUCUUAAGUUUGCUUCAGUGGAUUUAGACGGUUUAUGGAGACUUAUGUUAAUGUUACAUUAUUUCUAGUUUGUUAUUUGAGACAUGAAGAAGAGUUGAUUUUA